UGGCUGAUUUUUCUUUCCUUCUUUCGUGAUUCCUCUGCGUCUCUACUUUCUUUUCUUUCGUCUUCAACCACUGCCAAUGAUAGUGGCUGUUGUUGCUUCGACCGUCCGCCAUUGACAGGUGCUGGAGCUCGCUGAUUCGUUGCUGUACGUUUGAGAAGAUUCAAAGGCUCUGGAUCAAGGAGAAUGGGAGAGAGCUUUAAACUAUAGCUGCGUCUCUUCCGAUCUCCUUCUUGUGCUGUUCUUUUCGUCUGUCACCAGUGAGCUUGAGCAUGUUGCAGAUUUCUUCUUCCUUUUCCUCUGUUCUACGUUACUGAUCGCUCAACACUGUAGGUCGUCGUUCAGUUCGUCCAUCUGCUGUUCAUUCGCGUUGGCGGCCGUUUUUUUCUUCCUCCGUUAAUAUCGAGCUAUGGGUUCUUAAAUUUCAGAUUGGGGAGUGGUUGAUUCACGUUGAUUUACUGGUUUUCUGCUUCCCCUGUUCAGCACCGAACUGCUCUCCCUUCAUAGUCGUUGUGGCCGAUAUCUGGCAGUAGAGUACGUAGCUGAAGGGAAGUGUAGAGGUGUUUAGAAAGAACAUAUGAUUAUUCUUGGAGCUUAUCAGAUGGUAUAGUGGAACUCGUGACUCGAUAUAUCCACUGAGGAGUUUUACUGCUGAAUUGAAGCAGAAGAAUUAUUUUAGUCAAAUCCUAAUUUGGUGAAAAUUUGAACUUUAUACCUAUGUUGGCGUCUGACCUUAAGUGCUCCACAUAGACUACAGGUAGGAUCCUCAUAUUUCCUUUAAACUUGAAUAUCUGAUUUAAUAUUGUAAUAAUUUUUAAUUACUCUAUUAGUGUGUUUAACAUAUUAAAUUCAGAGUUUCUUCUAUCACGGCUUAAGGGAUGUGAGGUUUGUGGUCCAUAUCCUGUGCCGGUCACACCUGAUUUUUGGGGUGUGACAGAAGUUGUAGCC